GGGCCGUUAGCUCAGUUGGUAGAGCANNGUCCAAGGUUCGAAUCCUUGACGGCCCACCA
rnacentral:tRNA from 1 species